UAAUUCCCUUCCUUCUGCCCUCUGUGCCCUGGCAACCACUCAUCUUUUUGUGUCCGCUGAGAAUUGCCUCUUGCACAAUUGUCUGCCAAACCCCGUUGUUAAUGAAAUGAAUGAUUUAGUUAUCCUUGUUAGUAAUGGCCCACACUGCACAAAGACCCAUUAUUGCAUCCAUGAGGCUGGCAGGAGUGCCGGCCAAGGCACCUGUGAGCGAUUCUUACAAUUAGCUCUCUUAUCAGCUUGAUUGGAGAGGAGAAGGCUAGAUGAGAUUAACACCUGAAAAUCUCUCUAUUAUGACUUGAGGGCCUACUAAUUUGGCCCUGAGAGGUGUGGCCCUUCCUAAUUUUGACAGUGAGAAAUAUAUCGCCCUGGGUCCUCCCUAAUCUAUAUGAUCUAUAAGCCCAAACGGCCUUUAAUAGGGGGCGGUCACAGGAGGUCAGCGGCCUCCUCCUUCACAGCAGCUAUGUGAUGUGGCUGAGCUCUGAGAAAGAGCACUUGGCUGUGGUGCAACUGGCCUAGAAUUCAUAGCCCCAUUCUCUUGAUCUGAGUUGCUUCUGGGGGAUGAGCGUGGCACCACAGCGUCUCAGGUGCUAUAUAGGGGACUUCCCAAGAGUUGCCCGUAUCAGUUGUAAGGUGCUGUCUACAUGAGGGGAUGGUUUUAUGAAGACACAAGGGAGAGUUACCAGCAGAGUGAUGGCCAAAGCUUUGAGCUAGAUGGUUUUCAUCUUCCUGAAACAUCACCCUAGGGUUUUCCUGAUGUUUCCAUCAAUCUGUUAAGUGCAGUGUGUGGUCGUGUCCCUCAGGGACUUGCCCAUUUACUCUGGAAGACCAAAUUUAUAGGCUACACUCUGGGUGCAGACA
rnacentral:lncRNA from 1 species